rnacentral:rRNA from 1 species
UGGAAGUAAAAGUCGUAACAAGGUCUCCGUUGGUGAACCAGCGGAGGGAUCAUUACCGAGUUUACAACUCCCAAACCCAAUGUGAACCAUACCAAUCUGUUGCCUCGGCGGGGUCACGCCCCGGGCGCGUCGCAGCCCCGGAACCAGGCGCCCGCCGGAGGGACCAACCAAACUCUUUUUUCUGAAGUCCCCUCGCGGACGUUAUUUCUCACAGCUCUGAGCAAAAACAAAAAAUGAAUCAAAACUUUCAACAACGGAUCUCUUGGUUCUGGCAUCGAUGAAGAACGCAGCGAAAUGCGAUAAGUAAUGUGAAUUGCAGAAUUCAGUGAAUCAUCGAAUCUUUGAACGCACAUUGCGCCCGCCAGUAUUCUGGCGGGCAUGCCUGUCCGAGCGUCAUUUCAACCCUCGAACCCCCCCGGGGGUCCGGCGUUGGGGAUCGGGAAGCAAGCCCCUAAGACGGGCGUCCCGGCCCCGAAAUACAGUGGCGGUCUCGCCGCGGCCUUCCCCUGCGCAGUAGUUUGCACAACUCGCACCGGGAGCGCGGCGCGUCCACGUCCGUAAAACACCCAACUUUCUGAAAUGUUGACCUCGGAUCAGGUAGGAAUACCCGCUGAACUUAAGCAUAUCAAUAAGCGGAGGA